AACCAAACAACUGGAGAGCGUCGCGCCCUGAACCGGCGCGGCCGCCGAAGGGGCAAGCGGCGCCGACCGGCGCGCGCGAAUCUCUCAGGCAAAAGGACAGUAGGGGCAAG
rnacentral:ncRNA from 2 species